rnacentral:misc_RNA from 1 species
GAAGGCAAUUCAUUCUCAACCUUGUGUUUCAAUCUCCUAAGAACAAAUGGACGCAAAACUUGGUGCAGACGGUUAAUGAUCAAAAGAUUUUCCUCCUCUGAGAGCAAAGCUUCAUCAGGUGAGCUAUCACCGCUCUCAAAUGGCUUGUUAAACCAUUGUGAGAAGUCUUCUGAUGAAUUGAAGAUAUUUGGCAAAAGGAAGUUAAGUAGUGCCCAGAGCUCCUCAAGAUUGUUCUGAAGAGGAGUGCCCGUCAACAGUAACCUAUGAU